rnacentral:rRNA from 1 species
UCUUCCUACGGGGCGCAGCAGUGAGGAAUAUUGGUCAAUGACCGAGAGGCUGAACCAGCCAAGUCGCGUGAGGGAUGACGGCCCUACGGGUUGUAAACCUCUUUUGUCGGGGAGCAAGACCCGCCACGAGUGGCGGAGCGAGAGUACCCGAAGAAAAAGCAUCGGCUAACUCCGUGCCAGCAGCCGCGGUAAUACGUAGGUGGCGAGCGUUAUCCGGAAUGAUUGGGCGUAAAGGGUGCGUAGGCGGCCUGCUAAGUCUGGAGUGAAAGGUACCGGCUCA